rnacentral:lncRNA from 1 species
UAGAACGAUUCUCAAUCGUUGAUCAGCCACAUGAUCAGUUCAAAAAUUUUUUUGAGUUUGAUCCUAUAGGUUCGAAUCUAAGCUGGUAGCAUAGGAACUGAUUUUCUAUACCAAUCAAAAUGACCAUCUAAUAAUGGUACCCGAUAUUUGGAUAGGUCGAAAGAUUACAAAGCAUCAUUAAUGAACCUAUUGGCAUAUGGUUACCAUAUAAUUCAUCUCUUUGACUCUAAUGCUCAAGGUGACCUGGAGUUUAACUAUCAACUCCGGAAUAGUCAGCCACAUUGUGUCUCAACCUUUCAAAUCCAUCAUAUGGAUUACUUUGAUCAAAGUUUUACUAAAUUGAAACAUACUGAUGCAUUAACUCUUACUUAUUCGGAGGGAUCAAUUCUAUCUUGACACACACACUGAUUUCGCAAGUACUUGACUGUACCCAAAAAUCUUUCAUCACUAAAUUAAAAAUUCAGAUAGUCCGACACCAAAGCACAGUAAGUUGCUCGUAAGUCAUCAUGGUGAUUUCAGGUCGGAAGGACACUUAUAUCCAUAUCCUUCAUGAGCUUCUCUUGAAAGUAGAGUGCUCAACAGUUGGUCACGUUUAAUGAGAUGUACUCCUACAUCUCACUUAUAUGUCAUACCAGUGUCUCCAUAUCAUUUGGUUAUGAGGACAACCAACACAUAUAGCAC